GAUGAAGAACGCAGCGAAAUGCGAUACGUAAUGUGAAUUGCAGAAUUCAGUGAAUCAUCGAGUCUUUGAACGCACAUUGCGCCCCCUGGUAUUCCGGGGGGCAUGCCUGUCCGAGCGUCAUUGCUGCCCUCAAGCACGGCUUGUGUGUUGGGCCUCCGUCCUCCUCCCGGGGGACGGGCCCGAAAGGCAGCGGCGGCACCGCGUCCGGUCCUCGAGCGUAUGGGGCUUCGUCACCCGCUCUUGUAGGCCCGGCCGGCGCUUGCCGACACAUGAAUCUUUUUUCCAGGUUGACCUCGGAUCAGGUAGGGAUACCCGCUGAACUUAAGCAUAUCAAUAAGCGGAGGA
rnacentral:misc_RNA from 1 species